rnacentral:rRNA from 1 species
GACGAACGCUGGCGGCGUGCCUAAUACAUGCAAGUUGAGCGCUGAAGGUUGGUACUUGUACCAACUGGAUGAGCAGCGAACGGGUGAGUAACGCGUGGGGAAUCUGCCUUUGAGCGGGGGACAACAUUUGGAAACGAAUGCUAAUACCACAUAAAAACUUUAAACACAAGUUUUAAGUUUGAAAGAUGCAAUUGCAUCACUCAAAGAUGAUCCCGCGUUGUAUUAGCUAGUUGGUGAGGUAAAGGCUCACCAAGGCGAUGAUACAUAGCCGACCUGAGAGGGUGAUCGGCCACAUUGGGACUGAGACACGGCCCAAACUCCUACGGGAGGCAGCAGUAGGGAAUCUUCGGCAAUGGACGAAAGUCUGACCAAGCAACGCCGCGUGAGUGAAGAAGGUUUUCGGAUCGUAAAACUCUGUUGGUAGAGAAGAACGUUGGUGAGAGUGGAAAGCUCAUCAAGUGACGGUAACUACCCAGAAAGGGACGGCUAACUACGUG